rnacentral:lncRNA from 1 species
CUUAAUCUCCUUUUGGUCUCUACUCUUGUUGCCAGUCAUACUCCUAGGAGACCACCACCACCACCAUGUCUUUCCACACCACCACCUGUUGAUACUCCUUCAACACCACCACCUGUGGUAACUCCUUCGACACCACCUCCUUCCACACCACCACCUUCGACACCUCCUUCUCCAUCACCACCUAUCAUAACUCCUUCCGCACCUCCACCUUCGACACCCCCACCUACGACACCUCCUUCCACACCACCGUCAAUUCCUAGGACACCUCCUUCUACACCACCACCGAUUCCGGUGACACCCCCGCAAAAUUGUAACCUUUUAAACUUGAACAUUUGCGCCAAAGUAUUGAAUAAUGUAGUUGUGCUCAACCCACGAAACAAUCGUUGUUGUACCCUCAUCAGCGGCCUUGUUGAUCUAGAUGCCGCUGUGUGUGUUUGCGCUGCACUCAAAGCUAAUAUCAUAGGAAUAAGUGUUAACAUCAAUGCUGACUUGAAAAUAAUCUUGAACAGUUGUGGGGUUAAUACGCCCGCUGGUUUCACAUGUAGACGUUAAGAUAUCAUGUAUGAGCAAUGGCCAAUGAAUGCCAUUGCCAAUGGACGGUUCCUAUUACACUAUAUUAAUUAAUUAUGUACCUAUAAAUUAAUAACGUCCAUUUUAUAAUAAUACUAAUCUAUAUAUAUAUAUUUGUGGUGAUCUUGUUCUUAAUUGUGAUAUCAAUGGAAACCUCUGCAUUUGUUGAAUAUUGGUAGCAAAAGUUGCUUAAUAAAUAUGUCUUUUCUAGUCUCGUGACCAUAGCUCAGUUGAUGGACAAUGCAUUAUUAUAUGCAGGGGUCGGGGUUCGAACCCCGGACACCCCACUUAUUCAUCUUAUAAGGUGAAUUCUAGACACUAGCCUACCUCACAAAAAAAAAUAAUGUCUUUUCUAUUGUGCAAAUGCGACGAAUUGCGAACAAUAGUUUUUAUGAAAUUUUGAUUUCAAUUAUUUUAAUUUGAUUAAAAAUUUGGUAUAUGCCGUAUAGAUAUUAUAUAUUUUGCACUUUUAUUUUAUAACAAACUAUAUUAAUUUUUUCAAUUAUACUACCAAUAUAUAACAAAUAUAAUAUUUUUUUUGAAUAUCUAACAUAAUAACAUUCUUAUAGUCAUAUUGUUUAUAGUUAUAAUUGAAAAUGGAAAAACCAGCGAAAAAUCAUGUAAUUUCUUUAUAUUUCUUAUCUUAUGUUUUUUUUUUUAAUUCUUUAUUUACUUCGAAUGUUUUUAAGUAAUUUGUAUCAACGUAAAUGCCACUCUUGCUGAAUAAAUAUGUCUUUUCUUAAUAUUUAAGAAGUCUCAGAAGUAUGGAUGUCUUUUGUCUAAUUUAAACAAGUGUUGCAACAAUACUAUUCAACUUGCCUAUAAAAGGAAACUUUCAAGUCUCAGUUAAGUAGAAAUUAAAAGCACGUAUGAAGGUACUAAUAACAUCUUUCUACAAGACAAACAUAUCUCACAAAUUAUUCCCAUUAAACAAGUGGAAUAGUGGAUGCCACUGCCACAUAAGAAGAUAUUAAGACUCUGCCUGAGCCUAAACAUAAUAUAUUAGAGAUUAAAUUUAACUUUAAACUUCUUGCCUUGCAAUGGAGAUCUAAGCCCUAGGUGCCAAAAUGAUAAGGUUAAUGGCUGCAAAAACAAACAGAAUCUUAAAUGUUCAUUUCCUACAACAAAUCGCUUCUACAACCCUAAACCAAAUCUUGCGACACUCGCACCUACGUUGUCUCCAACGAAUACACCAUAUUUGCCCUAAUAUGGUCAAAUUCGAAACUUGCAUGUUUGCCCUAAUAUCUUGGGAUUAAUCUUUGUUGACCUUAAUAUUCCCUUGAAAAUAAUCAUAGACAAUUGUAGGCGUGACAAGCCCACCAUAUUUCAUAUAUGUAUGAGCAAUGGCCAAUGCAUGCAAUCGCCAACGGACGAUUCCAUUUACAUUACUUUUAAUAAAUUUAUGAACGUCCAACUAACUUGGGUUGGUUUUAUGGUGUUGGAGCAUGCUCUAUCUCAAGGUCUCAAAUUAGAUGCUCCCCGAUGUCAAUUUAGAUUCUUAAAAAAAAAUAACGUCCAUUAUAUAUAGUUUAUGAACGUAGCUAAUAAAAUGCUUUUUAAUAUUUUAAUUUAUUAUAUAGUCUAAAUAAUAUUAAAUAUUCUGAUUUAGAGAUUUAAAGAUUAAAAAAUUCCUAAAUUCUUGAAGCAAAUCAGGUCAACGUGGUUUCAGGGUCAACUAUGAACCUAUGUGAAUGUGAGCAGAUACACACAGCGCAUGGCUUUCAAAUUUGUCAGGGUUUAACCGUGGCUAAAUUAACGAGGUUUAGCGACUCAAUUUGACCCUUUACGAUCCAAUUUUUAAGAUUAGAACAAUUUCUCUAGAGUAUUUAAAAUGAUCCUAAGCGAAUUAACUAUAUCGUUUAUAUUGUCUUGAGGUCCAAUCAACUUUGCCAUAUGCACAGACUCAACUCCUUAUCUUUAGUUGAGCAUAUCUUCUUGGAUUCCCUCCAUUUGUCUGCUCUAAUAAUAGUGUAUCAUUAAAAAUCUCGAACUACAUCCGUAAUUAAGAAACCAAAUCAACAAUGGUUUAGAUAAGUUCCCAAGUGUUUUAGUUUCUAGAUUCAUUCGUAAAUCCCUUUUGAAAUCAUUAAUUUCUAUCAUUCUCUCAUUUCACUUCACUUAUAAUACGAUUUAGUGAAAAGGAAAUAAUAGAAGAGUUUACUUGCUCGCCCCAUAAUAAAGUGAUUUUUCCAUCUCACUAUUAGUUUUCCCUGUUACUCCCUUCAAAAAAAGAAAAAGAUUGAAACCCAAUAUAAAUUACAUUAUUUUUUCACUUUAAAAAAAGGAAAAAAUAAUGGAAGUAAGAUGUAAUGUAUCUUACCAUCAUUUAUGUGUGAUUACCGUUAAAGAUCCUUUUCACCAUCUUCCGGUCGCUCAUAUUGCAAAGCAAGAUACCAAAGAGAAAGCAACAUAUGAACAUGAAGCCGGGGGUAAAAUGUAGCUACUGGAUGAAAGAAAGAUUUAUUUCUGAAAGCAACAGUAAAUUAAAUCAACGUGACUUUGUUACAAAAAAAAUAAUAAUGUGAUUAAGGGAUCGUUUGGCCAGGUUUUUUUACAGUCUAAAAGCUACUUUAAAACAAAGAUAAAAUAAAGCUCUUUGAGAAAGAAGUUAAAACUGUUUGGUUUCUUUAUUUUUUGUUUUUAAUUUUAAAGUUGUUUUUAAGUUAAAAGUUGUUUGACAAAAUAUUGUAUAAAACUUUGAAUUUAUUAUUUUUUAGUGGUGUUUGGGUUUCGAACCCCGAACCUUGCAUAUAUUUAUGCAUUGUCCAUUUCAACUAAGCUAAGCUCACGUGCACAAAACUUUGAAUUUAUUAUGAAUUAACAUAAUUAAUAAAUAAAAUGUUUAAAAUAUUUUUUGAAGGGAAAAAAAAAUUAAAAUAUAAAAGAUAUUUUUUUUACAAAUACUAUAUUUACUCAAUGAACUUUAUUUUUUGUAACGGGAAAACAAAUUUGUAUCAUCAUAAAAAUGACUUGUUAAAUAUUUGAAUAGGAGAAAUAAUUUUAGGAGGCUCAAAUAAUAACAUAAAUAAUAUCAAAAUAGUUGGUUUUUUCUUUUUCAAUUAUACUCUAUAACAAAUUUCGUCAUAAGAAUAUCAUAUUUUUUGUGUCAUUCAAAAAGAUAAGAAUUUAUGUUAUAUGAUAUUAUAUUUGUUACAUUGUUGGUGUCAUUCAAAAAGAUAUGUUUAAUUUUUUUGAAUAAGAAAAAGAUAUGCAUAGUUUGUUAAAAUAUAAAGGUGAAAUGUAUAUGAGUGUAAUUUAUUUAGGCAUCUAUACUUGUACUUUUAAUUGAACUCAAAAUUUUAUAAAAAUAAGCAUAUGCAUUAUGCAACACUAAAAAUAAAUUAUGCGCAUUAGCGUAACAAAAAAACUGACAGACAUACAUAAAAUAAUACACUAAACGCUAAUUGUGUGUGUAUAUAUAUUUACGAGGUUGAAGAAUGCAAAUAAAAAUAUUUGUGAGGUUAUGAUGAUCAAACAUAUUGAAAUUUAAUAAUAUAUAAGUGAUAAAAAAAAAAUUAAAUGGACCCUCCUUCAAAAAAAAAAUUAAAUGGACCGGUUUAAAAAAAUUAAAUGGAAGAAAAAAAACAAAUUGAAAUAUAAUAUUAAAAAAUAAAGAAAAGGUUGUCAAUGUGAGUUGAAGAGAGGUGCUUGUGAAAUAAAUUGCCGAGAAGUAGUUUUUUGAAGUAGCAUUCAACAACUUUUGGUCAAAGCUCAUUCCAUUCAAUUUUAUGCAUUCUAAAAAUAGUACUUUUUUUAGAAGGUACUUUAUUGAUAACGUGUUUGGUCUAUCCUCUCCUUAAAAAUGUAGAGAAGCUGAAAUAAAGUCGGGCAAAACGGUACCUAAGCCAUGUAAUGAUCAUUGCAAUUCAAAAAGGCCAUAUGGCCCCUUAACUUAGCUGACUAAUUUAAAUGUAUAUUUGUGCCCACCAAGUUACUCAAUGAAUAUGGUUAUGAAUGGGUAUUAAAUGUAUUAGCAUGUAUAAAGCAUCAGCAUAUACAUAGAGACACUAACAUCUGAAUACCGAUAAUUAUUUAAAAAAUAAUAUAAUUCAAUCUAUUCACAUGUAUCUAUAUCUUGUCGGUGUCGAAUACUGGGACAUAUGAGACACCAAACACGCCUAUGAUUAAUAAGCUUCGAUGCUACAUAAAUUAGCAUUGCAAUUUACCAAAUGAAAAUUACAUUCAUUUCAAUUGAUAUAAGGAAGUCCGAAUAAAAUCUUGGUUAAUGGUGUUUUAUCCCUGUAAUAUAGGUCAUUUUUGGGUUUAUCAUCUGUAAAAUAAUUUUAUGCCCUCUAAUAGGCCAUACAAAAACCAAAAUUUCUGAAAGAAAAAAAAUAUUUGUUUUUGUAUAUGACCUCUUAGGGGUGUAUUCUGAAGGAAAAAAAAUUUACGAUUGACUGAAAUUUCUUAAAGCACAAUUUCUUAAAUGUCAGGGAAAUUUUGACUGACGAUGGGGUAAUUGACUAACAAUUGACUGAAAUUUCUUAAAUGUUAAAAAUUUCUUAACGGAAGUUACAAUUUUAAGGAGGAUUUUGCCUAUUCACUCUAUUCUUUUUCUAUUCAUGUAUGCAGAUGCAGUCUUACUACUAUCCCGAAAUAAGUGAAAAAAUUGGUUUGUUAUUUUGUUCUUUUUCACAAGUGAAUUAAUUAUCUUUUUUGUAUAGAGAUAUGCUCUCAUUUGCUGAAAGUAAAAAACUUAACUUAAUUAGGCAACCCAAGAUAAUGUAAAGAUUAAUGAUCAAGAUGUCUAGCAAAUUUCCCCAAGGCUUUUCAAAGGAGAGAAUUCCCUCCUAGGAGUUGCUAACACCUAAUGAUUUUGUUGAUUCAUUCCACGGUUCUACUUCAAUAACAUUGAGGGCUGCAAUCACCUUUUUUAAACCACUUGCAAUCAUCCUUUUGCUUAUAAAAAUAAAAACGUGUUUCUUUUUUAAUGGACAAAUAAUACAACAUCAAAUUAGUUAACUUUGGAGUAUAAUUGUAGAAUUUAUAUAUAUAUAUAUAUAUAUAUAUAUAUAUAUAUGGCAAUGCUACAACACACUCAUCUAAAAAAUAGAAGUUGUCUUAGUAUCCAACACCUUUUUAGUUGGACAAAAAAUAUCCAUUUCUCUUUUUUCACGCAUAUCUCUUAAUGUAGGUGUAAGUUAAGUUGUUAACUUACACCUAAAUGAUUUAGAUGAGUGUAGCUUGCUAAUUUAUACAUUAGUAUUUUAAAUGGGUGUAAAUUAACAGCCCGUAUAUAUAUAUUGAUUUUUUUGUUCUUCUUCACAAGUGAAAUAUUUAUCUUUUGUAUUCCCUUUGAGUCCUUUUAAGUUAAAUACAUACAAGACUUGCAGCCGUUGCAGACAACUCCAAUUUGCUCAAAAUCAGCAUUAUUUGCAAAAUGGGUUCAAAGGGUGUUGGGUCCAUUUUCAUUAUCUUCCUUAAUCUCCUUUUGGUCUCUACUCUUGUUGCCAGUCAUACUCCUAGGAGACCACCACCACCACCAUGUCUUUCCACACCACCACCUGUUGAUACUCCUUCAACACCACCACAUGUGGUAACUCCUUCGACACCACCUCCUUCCACACCACCACCUUCGACACCACCUUCGACACCUCCUUCUCCAUCACCACCUAUCAUAACUCCUUCCGCACCUCCACCUUCGACACCCCCACCUACGACACCUCCUUCCACACCACCGUCAAUUCCUAGGACACCUCCUUCUACACCACCACCGAUUCCGGUGACACCCCCGCAAAAUUGUAAC